ensembl:lncRNA
GGGGGAGGUGACAGAGAGAAAGACAUACAGUGAGAGAGAGAAAGACAGAGAGAGAGAGAGAGAGAGAGAGGGGGGGAGGUGACAGAGAGAAAGACAUACAGUGAGAGAGAGAAAGACCGAGAGAGAGAGGGGGGGGGAGGUGACAGAGAGAAAGACAGAGAGAGAGAGAGAGAGAGAGAGAGGGGGAGGUGACAGAGAGAAAGACAUACAGUGAGAGAGAGAAAGACAGAGAGAGAGAGAGAGAGGGGGAGGGAGGUGACAGAGAGAAAGACAUACAGUGAGAGAGAGAAAGACCGAGAGAGAGAGAGAGGGGGAGGUGACAGAGAGAAAGACAUACAGUGAGAGAGAAAGACCGAGAGAGAGAGAGAGAGGGGGAGGGGGAGGUGACAGAGAGAAAGACAUACAGUGAGAGAGAGAAAGACCGAGAGAGAGAGAGAGGGGGAGGUGACAGAGAGAAAGACAGACAGAGAGAGAGAGACAGAGAGAGAGAGAGAGGACAGAGAGAAAGACAUACAGUGACAGAGAGAAAGAGAGAGAGAGAGAGAGAGAGAGAGAGAGGGGGGUGACAGAGAGAAAGACAUACAGUGAGAGAGAGAAAGACCAAGAGAGAGAGAGAGGGGGGAGGUGACAGAGAGAAAGACAUACAGUGAGAGAGAGAAAGACAGAGAGAGAGAGAGAGAGAGAGAGAGAGAGGAGGUGACAGAGAGAAAGACAUACAGUGA